UUCUGGGAUUCAUCCAAAAAAUCCAGUAGUUCUGGAGGAAUAGAGAUUCUUGCAAUAUUACUUUCAGUGAUUCAUGCGGGAACUACUCUGGAGACUUCUCCAGACAUAGAUUCUAAUGGAUUUUCUAAAGAUUUUCCUCCAUGUAUUUCCCCAGGAAUUUCUCCAGUUUUCCUCUAAGGAUAACUCUAUGAAUAUCUUAACGGAUUGCUUAGGAAAUUAACUUGGAUAUAUUUACAUCACUAUCCUCGGUUUUGACUAAUAGGCAAUGAUCCUCUGAAAAGGAGCAGGACAGGCUUGACAGGAAAUUCGAUCAAGACGUAGUACAUGAUUGCGGGUAGAGACAUAGGUAAGGCUAGUGUUCCUAGUCUGGAGGUGGUAACUAUGGGUUGUGGUGGUAACUAUGUGCUGCAGCACAUGAAGAGAACACUCCUGAGCACUCUGUUUGAUAGAGAUGCUAGGAUUACUGAUUUGCAGACCUGACUCGAAACCUGACCUUUUGUAGGGGAGACUGGGGAGACUUGAUCCCUUUUUCUUAAUUUGCCUGUAACAUUAAGAAAAAACCCAGAUUAAUCCACCUAGUGGUGAUAGUGCCUUUCUCGUCGAACAUGUACUCAUGAUCUUUCCUUGGUUGGGAUGCGACUGGGAUGAUUUUGCUUCAGAAUGUUGGCUUCAGCCUUUUGGGGGAAUCGAAAAUACUAGUUUAUGAUUUUUUCCGACGUUUCGAUCUGUAUGGCGCCUUUUCAAGGGUUCAAUCGGUCAAGGUUUCCUAGUCAAGAUGGCCUAGCCUAACUUAAAAAUGUCAUACGGAAGUUUUGGUAUUUAUUGAGUCCGUUUGGUUUGAAACCGUCGUGAUGUGGACAAUCUCCUACCUAUCGGGCGGUUUAGAAUUCGGUCCUGUUUUUGGAAUCUUCUACUAUUGUUUGUUAAGCUAGUUUCUGUGCUAGGGCCAUCUUUCCGAAGCAUGAUCUUUCCGUCGACGUAAUGCGAACUGUUCCUGAAUCCUGAGAAUACCUUAUUUAGAAAAGCAAUAAUUUUAAUAAAAUUGGAAAAUUUAUUAAUUGAACAUAUUCUGACGUUACGUUAAACGUAUAGACUGGGCUGAAAAAUAUCAGAAUUUUCAGUUGACUGCUUGAGCACCUUCACUAUCACUGAAGACCGAUCAACAUCAAGACGAUAAUUACAAGCUAGGAUAUAACGUCUUUCACAAUCACAGAUGACUUUACGGCAGGCCUGCCCAACCUUUCGUGGCCGCGGGCCACAAGUGAUACUCCAUACCAGUCGACGGGCCAGACAUUAAAUUUCGACAUCAAAUUUCGAAAGCACGAAUGCAACAGUGAAAUUUUGUACAUCCGAUUACCCGUUCUCACGGCAAAUCACAACACUGACAUCAUUUGGGUCAUAAAAUGUGAGCAAGAAUUCUUGAUUGUUUUGCAAAAAUCACCCUGAAUACUUUUUUUCUGAAUUUUGCCGAACUGCAGGUUGCAGCAAACAAUUUGCUGAAAUUCAGCAAACUUUCCUGAUUCGUUCAGUAAACUCUGCUGUUCAGCAGCAACGUUUUUCUGAAAUUCAGUAAAUUUUGCUGAAAUUCUGCUUCAAAUUUGGCUGUACCUUUCAAGUUUAAAAUUUUUAAAUUUAUGUAUUUAAAUUUUUUAAUAUUUGAAAUUUUUUAACAAAACACUCUACCUAUUUCGAGUUUAUUUUUAAUAUUAAAUUUUAUUUAAAUAUGACGCCGAACCGUUUUGUUCGCGGCGUUGGCGCCAUCGGCAAGGAGCGUUCCAUUCCAACGAAGAGCAAGGUCGAAGCACUGCAGGACCGCUACCAGCGAUCACAAAGCCUAGUGGACAAGAUGUGGGCUCUGUGGGCGUCCAAAUAUUUUUCAGGUUUUAACCAGCAGACGAAGAGGCUUUUCGAGUUGUCGCCACUAGCGUGUGGCAACCUGGCGAACACCGCCGAUGACGCCGUGUGGAAAACCUGGGCCCGGAGCAUCGUAACGGACGUCUUCCCGGGCGCGGGCGGCAGAAUCCUACAAGCCGUGAUUAAGGGUAAGUUUAGGAGGUCGGUGACAGGACUGGCUGUGCUCGAGGUGCAGAAUGGUAAAUCUGGUGCAGCCAAGGAGCCCCACCAGAGUUACGGGAGGGGGUGUGUUAGCACAGCUUCGUACCACCCUUCGACAGCGCAACCAGGCGCAACAUUCGGUCCACACCGGACGCGACAACACCAGUGGAUGGAUGAACCGUGCGCUGAGCAUAGCUGUCAGCAGGUAUGUUGGGGGAUAUAAAAAGUAAAAGGUAUUGCGGCGCUCAUAAUAAAUCCACAUUGGGCGGCGGCGAUAUGCCCGCGAGGAGAUUCCCGCGAUACAGACGCAAUGUCAAAACCGAACAGACACUGUCACCCACCCAGCAGCAUCGCAGCAGCCUUCAGGCCGUUCAUAUCAAAACAAAAGUUAAUACAAUGGCAACUCAGGUGGCCAGAAAUCGUAAUAAUAUUUAUCGCGACAUUGAUUCACUAUACGCAUACGCUUCACCUCGUCGGCUUUGUGUUUAAUAAUCGGGAUGUUAUUUAGUGAUGCUGCAGGGGGAUGCGGCUUCAUCUUUUCCAUUUCCACAUUGCGUCUGUAUCGCGUGCAUCUCCUCGCGGCUAUAUCGCCGCAGCCUCAUGUGGAUUUCAUAUAAGCGCCGCAUGCAGAUUUUCUGACCAUCAGGUCGCUCAUAGUGGUGCGGUCAUAUUUUUGCAACUUGAUGGAAAAGAAGAAGACAAACGCGUUUCGCGGAUUUAUCUUGCAAGGCACAAUAAACAGAAAGAAACUAAAUUUCGGAAGAUACGAACAAAAUGGUUUUGUAGAGAAAAGGAAUAUUAGAUUUCGAGCCGAGAUUAAUUGGAGCUCAGAGUUUGAGGCUUUUUAUUGAAUUGGUAGCUUUUAAGGUGAAAGAAGGCAGUAGAUUUUGUGACUUUCCUGAAACUCAAGGAUCCUGUUGGAAACCAGCGCCAGAAAACCCUUGUCUUAAAGGGGAAUUAUACGAAAAACCAUUAAAUGUAAGUCAUUGUAACUAGAGAUAAGCUAAAAAAGAAAUUAAUGUUCGAUGUUUUUAUAUUUCCAAAUAAUAUUGAAAUAAAUAGUUUCAAGCUGUCACAACCAAAGUGCUGCUUUGAGAAUUCGGUUUGAUUAGGGUGGUCCGAUUUCGAACAUAUGAAAUAUCUUCAAAUGCAUAUUUCAAUCCUUGGGCCAAGUUUCAUUCAUCGAUUCCGCGGGCCGUAUGUUGGACAGCCCUGCUUUACGGUCUUCGACAUAGUUUUUUCUUCACACUUUAGGCUAUAUUUUAUUAUCAUAGGUUACAAAAUUCAUGUAAAAUUUGACAUAAAAUGCAAGCAAGUGAAAUUGCCCAUACUAAAUCCCAUAAAAAAUUUCCCAGUAGUUUUAGACGGAAAAGAGGAUUUCUCCGGGGUUAAUGCGAUAAUUUUCUCAUAUAACGUUGACCUAUCCUACUGUAUAUUUUUACACCUCGGUGAUUUGAUGAGAUUGCUUUAGUACAGACAAACAUACAUAUCAUUCGUAACAUAUUGCUAUUAUAUUCAUCGUUACGAAAAAAAUAAUCGCCAAAUGCUAAUCAGGUUGCGUUUCACUGCGGCUUGAUGUUGGUAGUGAGUAGACGUCAAACAAGCAACAACGAUUAAUACAUAUUUGUUUCAACCGUUGAAAACAAGGACGAUGGAGAGUGAGUAGAGUAAGACGUCUGUAUGUAUGUGGCCUUAGUUUAGUCAAGAUUUUGUUUUGUUACACAUAUUUAUCGCCUGCAUUGACUUUGUUCAUUUUUGAAGUUCCUGCGAAGCAUCCUAGGAAGCAAUCAAUGCUGGUUUUGCAUCACUAUCGGUAGCCUCUAUUGUGGUCUGCGCCUAUUUUCUUGCUAAUCGUUCUUCAUGGUUUAAAAAAGACCGCGGUUCGAUGUGUCGCAUGCAUAGGUUUGGUUCUUUUUGGCAUUUGGCCACUUCCGGCUGGACACCUAAGAUCGGUCCUGGAACACUAUCGGUAGCCUUUAUAAAGAUCUUCGUUGAGGUCUGAGCCUAUUUUCUGACUAAUCGUUCAUCACGUUAUUUAAAAAGCCGCUGUUUAAUGUGCCGUAGGCAUGGGUUUUGAUAUCUACUACAUUUGACCACUUCCAGCGGGACACCGGAACCGGUUCCGGAACUCUAUCGGUUGAUCCAAAUAUGAUCUGAAACUAUUCUCUUUUAUUAACCGUUUAUCAGGUUGCCUGAAGAGCUUGCGAUUUGAUGCGUCGCAUGUAAGGGGUUGGUUAACUUUUAUACUUGGCUACUUCCGUCGUGACAUCCGGAACCGGUUCAGUAACACUACCGGUUCCGAUAUGGUUUGAGAAUGUUUCCCUGCCCACUGUUCAUCAGGCUAUCGAAAAAGCCGCUGUUUGUUGUAUCGCAUGCAUGGGUUAGGUUCACUUUAAUAUUUAGCCACUUCCGGCGGAACAUCCAGAACCGGUUCCGGAAUACUACCGGUUCAGAUAUGGUCUGAGAAUGUUUUCCUGCCUACUGUUUAUCAGGUUAUCGAAAAAUCCGCUAUUUGAUGUGUCGCAUGUAUGGCUUUGGUUCACAUUCAUCUUUGGCCACAUCCGGCGGAUCACCCGGAACCGGUUCCGGAACACUACCGGUUCAGAUGUGAUCCGAGAAUAUUUUUCUGCCUACUGUUCAUCAGGCUAUCGAAAAAGCCGCUGUUUGUUGUAUCGCAUGCAUGGGUUAGGUUCACUUUCAUAUUUAGCCACUUCCGGCGGAACAUCCAGAACCGGUUCCGGAAUACUACCGGUUCCGAUAUGGUCUGAGAAUGUUUCCCUGCCCACUGUUCAUCAGGCUAUCGAAAAAGCCGCUGUUUGUUGUAUCGCAUGCAUGGAUAUGGUUCACUUUCAUAUUUAGCCACUUCCGGCGGAACAUCCAGAACCGGUUCCGGAAUACUACCGGUUCAGAUAUGGUCCGAGAAUGUUUUCCUGCCUACUGUUUAUCAGGUUAUCGAAAAAUCCGCUGUUUUAUGUGUCGCAUGAAGGGUUUGGUUCACUUUAAUAUUUGACCACUUCCGGCGGGUCACCCGGAACCGGUUCCGGAACACUACCGGUUCAGAUAUGGCCCGAGACUAUUUUCCUGUUUACCGUUCAUCAAUGUUUCGAAAGUGCCGUGGUUUGAUGUGUCGUAUGAAUGGGUUUGUAGCGUUUUCAUAUCUGGCCCCUUCCUGGGGUACCGAUCCGGAACACCUAAAUGGCCAUAACUCCGGAACGGCUGGACCGAUCCGAACCAUUUUCAAUAGGAAACAAUGGGACCAGAUUCCGCGUCGAAUGAACCGUUGGUCAUUAAAAUCGGUUGAGGUUUACUGCCAAAAAGUGAUGUGAGUUUUUUGUACACACACAUACACACACACAUACAUACAUACACACACACAGACAUCACCUCAAUUCGUCGAGCUGAGUUGAUUGGUAUAUGUGACUCGACCCUCCGGGCCUUCUAUCAAAAAGUCAUUUUUGGAGUGAACAUAUAGCCUUUCCAGUACACUUAGUGUACGAGAAAGGCAAAACGCAAAACUAGAUCCAUUUUUCGUACAGAAUGGCAGGUAAACAUCUAUUGCAAGUGUAUACACAACAGAAGGACUUUAAAUUAUUGUAAAAGUUUUCAAAACUGUGUGUUUAUGGAGGCAUGUUUUAUGAUGUAUUUUUCAAAUAUGGGUCACAAUUGAUCCCCUUUUGAGCACAUGUUUAAUUUAAAGUGAAAAUAACUCCAGAAGCUUCCUGUUCAUUUUCUUUUCAAGUUUUCUUACAUUUUAGAUGAAUAUGGUGCAUUUGAAAUUAUAAGAUUUCCUUAAAUUGUUAAGGAUAUGCCGUAUUUUGAAAAUGGGGAGACUUGAUCCCCCUUUUAAUGGAGUGUAAUAAAAUAAUAAUAAUCUGACACGUUUUAUAAUUGAAUGUACUAGAAUUCCGAGUAAAUAGAGGCUUCCAAAUAGAAUUUUAUUUUUCACAAGUAUAAUGUGUGUGUAAUCCUCGAGGGAUCAAGUCUCCCCAUGCCACUUUUGUAUACACUAAGCUACAUUAAUUGAAAUAUUUAUAUAACAACCUUAUUUGGAUAAAUACGUUUGAUAGUAUUUAAUUUAUACUAUGUGCUGUAAAAUUUUGACACGAUUUGGUUCAAUUUUCACAAAGUUAUUGAUAUUUUUCGGAAUCGCCUAAAAGAUUUCUGAAGGACUGAAAACAAACCAUCAGCCAUUAAAAAAUAAUGCAAUACACAAUUAAAAUCAAUUGUAGCCAAAACAUUGUCGUCUGUCCAGAUGUUGUUUUGGAAAAACCCAGAUUAAUCCACCUAGUGGUGAUAGUGCCUUUCUCGUCGAACAUGUACUCAUGAUCUUUCCUUGGUUGGGAUGCGACUGGGAUGAUUUUGCUUCAGAAUGUUGGCUUCAGCCUUUUGGGGGAAUCGAAAAUACUAGUUUAUGAUUUUUUUUCCGACGUUUCGAUCUGUAUGGCGCCUUUUCAAGGGUUCAAUCGGUCAAGGUUUCCUAGUCAAGAUGGCCUAGCCUAACUUAAAAAUGUCAUACGGAAGUUUUGGUAUUUAUUGAGUCCGUUUGGUUUGAAACCGUCGUGAUGUGGACAAUCUCCUACCUAUCGGGCGGUUUAGAAUUCGGUCCUGUUUUUGGAAUCUUCUACUAUUGUUUGUUAAGCUAGUUUCUGUGCUAGGGCCAUCUUUCCGAAGCAUGAUCUUUCCGUCGACGUAAUGCGAACUGUUCCUGAAUCCUGAGAAUACCUUAUUUAGAAAAGCAAUAAUUUUAAUAAAAUUGGAAAAUUUAUUAAUUGAACAUAUUCUGACGUUACGUUAAACGUAUAGACUGGGCUGAAAAAUAUCAGAAUUUUCAGUUGACUGCUUGAGCACCUUCACUAUCACUGAAGACCGAUCAACAUCAAGACGAUAAUUACAAGCUAGGAUAUAACGUCUUUCACAAUCACAGAUGACUUUACGGCAGGCCUGCCCAACCUUUCGUGGCCGCGGGCCACAAGUGAUACUCCAUACCAGUCGACGGGCCAGACAUUAAAUUUCGACAUCAAAUUUCGAAAGCACGAAUGCAACAGUGAAAUUUUGUACAUCCGAUUACCCGUUCUCACGGCAAAUCACAACACUGACAUCAUUUGGGUCAUAAAAUGUGAGCAAGAAUUCUUGAUUGUUUUGCAAAAAUCACCCUGAAUACUUUUUUUCUGAAUUUUGCCGAACUGCAGGUUGCAGCAAACAAUUUGCUGAAAUUCAGCAAACUUUCCUGAUUCGUUCAGUAAACUCUGCUGUUCAGCAGCAACGUUUUUCUGAAAUUCAGUAAAUUUUGCUGAAAUUCUGCUUCAAAUUUGGCUGUACCUUUCAAGUUUAAAAUUUUUAAAUUUAUGUAUUUAAAUUUUUUAAUAUUUGAAAUUUUUUAACAAAACACUCUACCUAUUUCGAGUUUAUUUUUAAUAUUAAAUUUUAUUUAAAUAUGACGCCGAACCGUUUUGUUCGCGGCGUUGGCGCCAUCGGCAAGGAGCGUUCCAUUCCAACGAAGAGCAAGGUCGAAGCACUGCAGGACCGCUACCAGCGAUCACAAAGCCUAGUGGACAAGAUGUGGGCUCUGUGGGCGUCCAAAUAUUUUUCAGGUUUUAACCAGCAGACGAAGAGGCUUUUCGAGUUGUCGCCACUAGCGUGUGGCAACCUGGCGAACACCGCCGAUGACGCCGUGUGGAAAACCUGGGCCCGGAGCAUCGUAACGGACGUCUUCCCGGGCGCGGGCGGCAGAAUCCUACAAGCCGUGAUUAAGGGUAAGUUUAGGAGGUCGGUGACAGGACUGGCUGUGCUCGAGGUGCAGAAUGGUAAAUCUGGUGCAGCCAAGGAGCCCCACCAGAGUUACGGGAGGGGGUGUGUUAGCACAGCUUCGUACCACCCUUCGACAGCGCAACCAGGCGCAACAUUCGGUCCACACCGGACGCGACAACACCAGUGGAUGGAUGAACCGUGCGCUGAGCAUAGCUGUCAGCAGGUAUGUUGGGGGAUAUAAAAAGUAAAAGGUAUUGCGGCGCUCAUAAUAAAUCCACAUUGGGCGGCGGCGAUAUGCCCGCGAGGAGAUUCCCGCGAUACAGACGCAAUGUCAAAACCGAACAGACACUGUCACCCACCCAGCAGCAUCGCAGCAGCCUUCAGGCCGUUCAUAUCAAAACAAAAGUUAAUACAAUGGCAACUCAGGUGGCCAGAAAUCGUAAUAAUAUUUAUCGCGACAUUGAUUCACUAUACGCAUACGCUUCACCUCGUCGGCUUUGUGUUUAAUAAUCGGGAUGUUAUUUAGUGAUGCUGCAGGGGGAUGCGGCUUCAUCUUUUCCAUUUCCACAUUGCGUCUGUAUCGCGUGCAUCUCCUCGCGGCUAUAUCGCCGCAGCCUCAUGUGGAUUUCAUAUAAGCGCCGCAUGCAGAUUUUCUGACCAUCAGGUCGCUCAUAGUGGUGCGGUCAUAUUUUUGCAACUUGAUGGAAAAGAAGAAGACAAACGCGUUUCGCGGAUUUAUCUUGCAAGGCACAAUAAACAGAAAGAAACUAAAUUUCGGAAGAUACGAACAAAAUGGUUUUGUAGAGAAAAGGAAUAUUAGAUUUCGAGCCGAGAUUAAUUGGAGCUCAGAGUUUGAGGCUUUUUAUUGAAUUGGUAGCUUUUAAGGUGAAAGAAGGCAGUAGAUUUUGUGACUUUCCUGAAACUCAAGGAUCCUGUUGGAAACCAGCGCCAGAAAACCCUUGUCUUAAAGGGGAAUUAUACGAAAAACCAUUAAAUUUUCAAGCUGUCACAACCAAAGUGCUGCUUUGAGAAUUCGGUUUGAUUAGGGUGGUCC